CUUACACUCUACCAGUAAGAUAGAGAAAUUAGCAUGUCUUGCAUUUGCUACAAGAGCAACCCAACCUUAAAUUACAUAGAGUAACAAUACGUAGUACAUUCAUGAUAUCCUUAAAUUACAUAGGCCAACCAUCUACUUCGAAAAACUGCACAAACACAACACUAACGUAGCAACAAAAUAACAGCAAUAGCAAUUCUUAUUCCUUGUAUUUAUUCAAGCAUUUAAUUAUCCUUACAAUAUGAACCACUGUGCUAGUAUAUCCUUACAAGUCGAGUGCUUGCAUCUUCAUGGAGGAGAUUGGAGCUUCAAACUUUGACAGCCCAUUUCCCCUUUAAAAAAUUCUGAAAUGCCCACAUAUAGAUAGUUCCAAUACGAAACAACAGGAUUCUACUUUCCCAAACAAGAGCACUAGCAAACGACCGAAUAUCUCUUUGCUACAUCAUCUAAAUCUCAACUUUUCAAGUUCAGCCAAUAGAAAACGUAAGUGUCUCUAACUAAAGCUUCAUAUUUCCUACAAAAUGAAAGAACAAAAUCCAAAUUAUUCACAACCCAUGAACCAUGAUCCGUAAUUAACAGUCCCAGAAUAUAUACAUAAGCAACUUUUUUUUAAGCAACCAUCAGCAAAUUCCAUGCUGGCAUUUACACUCGCAGACAUACAUUUCACAAGGAAACUUGUUUAAUGGCAGAAAUAAUAUAAUGGUUAUAGAAGAUUCGAACUGAAAUUGAAUACCCAUAUUUUCUCAACUUCAAAUUAAAAAAAAAAUGAAAUGGGAAAAUUACCUUGCCAGUUGAGCAUUGAAUUUCUUGGAUCUUCUCACGGAAAUCGUGGAUUUACAAUUCUAUCGUUCUUUCUCGUCUUCUCUUCCCUCCUCCUACUACUGCUCAUAUGAAUAUGCACUCGUUCUGAUUAAUUUUUUAAUUAGGAAAAUCGCUCCAACGUUCUGACCAUUAUCGAUAUGUUCUUUUAAUUAAGAAAAUCGAAAAAUUUUAAAAAAAUCUUUAGCCAUCUUUAUAAUUUUACCCUUUUUUUCUAACAAUUUCUCUAUAAUUU
rnacentral:misc_RNA from 1 species